rnacentral:rRNA from 1 species
GUACUUCGCAUUGCUAAGUACCUACGUAGUGGCGGACGGGUGAGUAACACGUGAGAAUCUGCCUUGAGGACGGGAUAACAGUAGGAAACCACUGCUAAUACCGGAUAAGCCGAAAGGUGAAAAGAAAUUUGCCUGAAGAGGAGCUCGCGUCUGAUUAGCUAGAUGGUGAGGUAAAAGCUUACCAUGGCGACGAUCAGUAGCUGGUCUGAGAGGAUGAGC